CCUACGGGUGGCAGCAGUGGGGAAUAUUGGGCAAUGGGCGCAAGCCUGACCCAGCAACGCCGCGUGAAGGAAGAAGGCUUUCGGGUUGUAAACUUCUUUUGUCAGGGAAGAGUAUAAGACGGUACCUGACGAAUAAGCCACGGCUAACUACGUGCCAGCAGCCGCGGUAAUACGUAGGUGGCAAGCGUUGUCCGGAUUUACUGGGUGUAAAGGGCGUGUAGCCGGGUUGACAAGUCAGAUGUGAAAUCCUGCGGCUUAACCGCAGAACUGCAUUUGAAACUGUUGAUCUUGAGUACUGGAGAGGCAGGCGGAAUUCCUAGUGUAGCGGUGAAAUGCGUAGAUAUCAGGAGGAACACCAGUGGCGAAGGCGGUCUGCUGGACAGAAACUGACGGUGAGGCGCGAAAGCGUGGGGAGCAAACAGGAUUAGAUACCCCAGUAGUC
rnacentral:rRNA from 1 species